CUCAGUUCGGAUUGGAGUCUGNAACCCGACUCCAUGAAGCUGGAUUCGCUAGUAAUCGCGCAUCAGCCACGGCGCGGUGAAUACGUUCCCGGGCCUUGUACACACCGCCCGUCAAGCCAUGGGAGCCGGGGGUACCUGAAGUGCGUGACCGCAAGGAGCGCCCUAAGGUAAAACCGGUGACUGGGGCUAAGUCGUAACAAGGUAUC
rnacentral:rRNA from 1 species